AAAGUUGUAACAAGGUUUCUGUAGGUGAACCUGCGGAAGGAUUAUUACCUAGAGUUUGUGGGCUUUGCCCGCUACCUCUUACCUAUGUCUUUUGAGUACUUACGUUUCCUUGGCGGGUUCGCCCGCCGACUGGACAAAAUUAAACCCUUUGUAAUUGAAAUCAGCGUCUGAAAAACAUAAUAGUUACAACUUUUAACAACGGAUCCCUUGGUUCUG
rnacentral:misc_RNA from 1 species